CAGCCGCCACGGGAAUACGAAGGGUGCAAGCGUUACUCGGAAUUACUGGGCGUAAAGCGUGCGUAGGUGGUGGUUUAAGUCCGUUGUGAAAGCCCUGGGCUCAACCUGGGAAUUGCAGUGGAUACUGGAUCACUAGAGUGUGGUAGAGGAUAGUGGAAUUUCCGGUGUAGCAGUGAAAUGCGUAGAGAUCGGAAGGAACAUCUGUGGCGAAGGCGACUAUCUGGGCGAACACUGACACUGAGGCACGAAAGCGUGGGGAGCAAACAGGAUUAGAUACCCGCGUAGUCCCUGUCUCUUAUAC
rnacentral:rRNA from 1 species